GUUUCCGUUUGCCUUCUGGUGAACGUCAAAUGUUGAUUUUCCUCUCUCUCUCUCUCUCUGGGACACGUUUUUUAUUUUUAUUUUUUUCCCCUUCCUGCAGGACUCAUCAUGUUCCAGAAAGGCCAGGCUCCCACGCCUCCCCCCUACGAGAUUUUCUUCUGUUUUGGGGAAGAGUGGCCCGACCAGAAACCGAAGGAGAAAAAGCUGAUCACAGUGCAGGUUGUCCCCGUAGCCGCCCGGCUCCUUUUAGAAAUGUUCUCCGGGGAACUCUCCUGGUCGGCCGACAGCGUCCGCUUGCAGAUUUCGCACCCGGAUCUCAAAGACAAAAUGGUCUUGCAAUUCAAAGAACUUCACCAGCUCUGGCAAAUGCAACAAAACAUGCCAGAGGGGGCUCCCAGCAGCUGGGAAAUGCAGACCGGGGGCAACGGCAUGCAGCAGUGAGACGCCAAGAGAUAAUCCCCCAAGGCCCACCCCACCCGGUGGCAUUUGGACACCAUCCCACGGGGCGUGAAAAGUCCGGCAGGGUCUGUCCCACCUGCCCCACUGAGCCAUUUCUGGGGAGGGGGGAUCUCUUGGCGCAGCCCAGCUUCCGGCUUCUGACGACCACCGGAGCACGUUUUUAAGAGAAGCACUUGUGGGCACUCCAGAGGUCACUUAGAGGAGGUGGGCCGGCCAUUUUCUCCUGCUGCAAAGCAAGAGAACCGGUGAUGCAUCGCUUGGCGGUAUCUGCAUGACAUGGAAAACUUGAACUCGGAACCGAAGCGGGCUCAAUUCGAAAGAAAGGCGCUCGGCUUCUUGCCAGGAUGGACGCCAAAAAAAAAAAAACGGAUUGAAGUUUGGGGUCGCUGCAGGUUUGUUGGUUUGGGGCCCGGAGAAGGACAAUCUUGCAGCUGAUAUAAGGACCCUACCGUCUUUUGAGCCCACCACCCCUCCAUUGCAAUGAGGAGGAAACAUGGAAGCCUCCGUGACUUCAGUGUUUUAAAUUUGAAACGGAACAUCAUGCAGGAUGGAGACGUUGGCCUGGGGAACGUGGCAAGGUUGCACCCUACUUUGAAACUCAAGAGAAUCGUGAUUAAAAAAUUGCCCCC
rnacentral:lncRNA from 1 species